GUAAAUAUACAUCAGCGCUUUUUAUUUGAUUGUCGGCGCAGUCCGCUAGGGUUUUGCCGAGGUUCCUCCGUGGCGACGAGCAAGAUCGAGACGGCGUAAACGCUCAUGGAGAAGGCGUCGGCGCUGCUCUUCUCUGGCGUCCGCGUCGACCGAAAGCGUUUCGCCCUGGAGAUUGCCCGAUUCCAGCAGCCGAAGAAAGAACUGGAAGAUGUUGAGUGCAUGGCUGAUUCAGCGCCGGAAGCCUUGCCGGAUGUUAAGGCGAACAAGAAGGGGAAGAAGCGGAAGCGCAAGGAUAAGGACUCUUGUGAUGCUGUGGAGGGGUUCAGUGUGUUCAAGAAUUCCGAGUCUGUGUCCUCUAUUCUAGAAAGAAAUGCUUUGGAGGCAACUUCUGCUGAGAUGAAAAAGGACGUGGAAAAAGAGAUUGAGAAAGCUUCUGUUCUGCGUAAGAAGCAUGGAAUUCACAUUUCAGGACAUGGUGUUCCUCCCCCGCUUGAGAGUUUUGCAGAGCUAAGCUCAAGGUAUAACUGCAAACCAUAUAUUUUGCGUAACUUUUCUGAACUUGGUUUUCGAGAGCCUACACCUAUUCAGAGGCAGGCUAUUCCAGUACUCCUUUCUAAAAGGGACUGCUUUGCAUGUGCACCAACUGGUUCUGGCAAGACAUUGGCGUUUUUAUGUCCAAUGCUUAUGAAGAUUAAGCCAGGGUUAAAGAAUGGCGUACAAGCUGUUGUUCUCUGCCCUACUAGAGAAUUAGCUGCUCAAACUGCUAGAGAGUGCAAGAAGCUGGCUACGGGGAGGAAAUUUUACAUCAAGUUAAUGACUAAGGAGCUCUCCAGAUGUGGUGAUUUUGAAAAAAUGCCCUGUGAUAUAAUCAUAUCCACUCCUCUCCGGUUGGACUUAGCUAUUUGCAAAAGGAAGCUUGACUUGAGUUGGGUUAAAUAUCUUGUCUUGGAUGAAGCUGAUAAGCUUUUCGAGCUAGGUUUUGUAGAACAAAUUGAUUCUGUGGUCAAAGCCUGUUCAAAAACUACUGUAGUACGUACACUGUUCAGUGCGACUUUGCCUGAAACUGUUGAAAAACUUGCAAGCACAGUUAUGGUUGAUGCAGUUCGAAUCAUCAUUGGUAGAAAAAAUUCUGCCUCCGAGAUGAUUAAGCAAAAGCUUGUUUUUGCUGGUAGUGAAAAAGGGAAAUUGCUUGCUAUUCGUCAAAGCUUUUCAGAGAGUCUGAAUCCUCCAGUGCUAGUGUUUGUUCAAAGCAAAGAAAGAGCGAAGGAACUUUACAAGGAAUUAACAUUUGAUGACAUAAAAGUUGAUGUUAUUCAUGCAGACCUUUCCCAGCAGCAGCGAGAAGAUGCAGUCGAUAACUUCAGAUCGGGCAAGACAUGGGUUCUGAUAGCAACUGAUGUUGUUUCUCGGGGUAUGGAUUUUAAGGGGAUCAACUGUGUGAUCAACUAUGAUUUUCCUGAAUCAGCUGCAGCAUAUAUUCAUAGAAUUGGUCGAUCUGGACGAGCUGGAAGACCCGGAGAAGCUGUAACAUUCUUCACUGAAGAGGAUAAGCCUUUUCUGAGGAACAUAGCCAAUGUGAUGGCAGCAUCCGGCUGUGAGGUUCCUUCCUGGAUUCUAGCUUUGCCCAAGCUCAGAAAAAGAAAGCACCGACCACAGAGAGACUCGAUAUCAACCAUUCCCGAUGACAGUGCCUAGUAAAAGAAAUGCUGCAGUAUGUUCUAAAGCAUCAGGUUCAUUGCUCCCAUCCUUCCCGAGAGUCUACUGCUGUAGUUUUCAUCAGCAUUUUGACCCUUCAAUGCCAUCACUGAGUUUGCGGACGAAGAUUGCGAUUCAGGGAAACAGGCUUCAAACAGGACUGAUAAAAAUGUUUAUAUGUACUUCAUAACUUAAGAUUUUUAAGAUCAUGUUUUGAGUUAGAACAUUGAGCUAAGAAGUGUAACAGAAGGAAGAAAAGCAGUGCUUUAAUUAGGCACUUGGGUGUGGCAA